UGAUUCUUCACACUCAAUAAAACAAUCAGGUACAGCACAUGACAUUCUUUCUCUGCCAAUUGAAAGGAUCCAUGAGGUCAGGUUUGUAGAGCAGCCGUUCUCCACCACAGAGUCCAGAUAACAUUCCCUCAAAGCCACUGAAAUUCUCAUUCAAUUUUUUGCGAUGAAUGUUCUUGAAUUCAAUAAGAGUUUGUAGAGUUAACAAGCUGUCAGGUCCAGCUUGGUGACUAUUUCCAGCAAUUCGGUUAACACCCAGUAACUUGGAUACCCUUUCCAAUCCACCGUGCAAGCCAUGAACAGAAGUUAUAUAUUUAAUGUCAUAAACUGCAACUCCCAAGUAGAACUUCAUUAGCCCCAUAAAAGAUUGAAGAUUACGGGGCAACUCUUGUUGUGUUAAAAUCUUAAUGAAGAAAGCCAAAUCAUAAGCACCAUGGAAAGUAAUCCAAGUGAAGGAAUAGUUGAAAAUAAGGCCAGAACUAAGAACCAACUUGGCAAAAUCCCUAGAAUCAAUACCCUUUUCUCUAUGCAUCUUGAAAUUAGUUCCUUGUUUUUCAAGUAAGCGAAUGGACUCAACAUUAUGGGGAUCACUCUGGAG
rnacentral:misc_RNA from 1 species